ensembl:lincRNA
AUGUCCUCAAGGUGUUGCACCUUAAAGCACUAUCCAAUAAACCUCCUACAUGCAAAUCUCCAUCUCAGAAUCUGUAUCCAAGAGAUUCUACUCGAGACAUCAUCUUUUCCAGUCAGGGUUCCUAAUUGCACUGCCCCUGGAAAACGCAUGGAGAAGAAAUACAGCAAAAUACGUGAGAUGGUGAAACACUCUGGCAACUGCAAGCAGACAGAUGGGAUCUGGGAGGCUAGAAUGUCUGAAAUGACUUCGUAUGCAUCGUUCCUGAAGUAGAAUAGGCAAAACAGCUAGGGGAUGACUGGCAGCUUACUCUCCAUAUGAUUAGUUUGGGCUUCCUCACAGCAUGGCAGUCUCAGAGUCAUCAAACUUCUUACAGUAAGUGUAUUCUUCAGAGAAUCUCACUCAUUUAUUUUUAGUUUUGUUCUACUUUGUGAUGCAUAUGCAUUUUUGUCAGCUACCUUAAAUUCACUUUAGAACAAGGUGGGAUAUAAAUAUGAAAAUCAAGUGAAACAAAAAUUACAUAUCAAGGGAAGACAAAGACAUGUAUAGUAGUUUUCUUAAAGGAAUUUAGAGUCAAGCUGGAUAGAAAAAUUGUGGUCAUUAAAAGUUAGCAAGCUUCAGGAGGUGGAGAACAUUUGUUUCCUAAAGAGUUGUGUAGACAAGAAGUGUUAUAAUUGUUUGCAGGAAGCAGUGAACCCGUUAGGCUUCAAGAAUAAACUGGAUUUGAGAUUUUUUCCUUAAUUUUAAAAGAUAGAUAGGAUUUGGGCCAGCUGAGAUAAUUGGGAAGGAUUCAAAAAGGGAAGUGGUUUAUUAAAAGGUUGAUAUGUUAGAAAAGCCCAAGGCAUAUUUUGGGCCCUGGCAGAAGUGCUUGGCUGGAGAGUCUGUCCAGUGGAACUCUUGAGCAGUGGACUUCUUUUCUUGCCUAAGUAUUCAUUCACUCAUGAUCUGGGAACUGGACCUGAGUUUCCUUUUGAGCAACCAUCCUCCCACUACUCAAGCUCUGAAGUGAAGCAUAGUCUGAGGCCUGGGCUGAAAAGAAGAGAAAAUAUUGGUUUAGAAAUGGAGAUAUGAGUCCCCCUAUGCCAAUAAUAUACCAAGAGAACUUUGCUGAAACUUUCUGCUGUACAUGAACCUGAGGGAAUACAGAGGUGGGGUCUGCUGCUGCCACCUUGCCACCAUGCAAAGCCUGAGAUGCUAACUCAGCAAAGGCAGCUGAGGGCACAGCCUAGAGAUAGAGAGAAACUGAGUCCUGAUGGCAUAAUUUGAGUCCCAAAUCCAGCCAUACCUGCAGCCUUAUUCCAGAAUAGUCAGAGACGGGACAUUACACAAAUAUGAAGCAAAAAUUUGAACCAGGUAUCUAAAAAAAGUUAGGAGGAAAACAACGUAUAAUUAGAGAAAGGGAGAAUCAUGGGCUUAGGGGCAAAUGCCAUAAAUAUUUUCAGGCUUACAAAGUUUUUCAAAACCCAGUACUAGUCCAUCAUUCCAUUUUUGCCUCCCUGGCAUUUCUCUUUCCUCACCAUAUGCUUUACCCAUUAUGGACGCCAAAUUCCAUUUUCUAAAUAUUCUCUGUGCCUUCGUAACUCUGUGCCUUUGCCAAUGCUAUUCCCUAUGUGAAAUCACCCUUUCCUUCCUUUUCAAUCCGGAAAGCUCUUUCAUUAUCCCUGAAGGUUCACCUAGGGGAACCUUCUUGCUAUAUGCUUGUGUAAUUGUUUAUACACUUCUCUAAAACAGCAUUUACUUCAUUGUUUGGUAUUGCUUCUGACUAUCUCUCCCAUUAUUCUGUGAAUUCCUUGAGGGUAGAGACCAAGUCUAGUAUGCCUCAAAAACCCUUGAAGCAUUUAGCACAGUAUUUUAUAUACAAUAAGAGCUUAAUAGAUGCUUGUAGAAUAGAUAGUGCAUGAAUGAAUUAGAAAUGGCCAGUAAUAAAUGAAGAGAGGCCCUUGCCAGAGUUCCCUGGCUUUUGCCACGACUAUUCUCGGAAGCUUCCCCAUCUUGGUCUACAGAUUGCUAGGAAUUUCUUAUUUGUUCACCAUAACUUGUUUCUCCUAUCUUUUCCAAUAUCCCUUUAAUUUGGUGUGGCCAUGGAACUGUUUUCGUUGCAGUGGGGUGUAGAAGAAGGGAUGUGUACCACUUCCAGGUCUGAACUUCAAAACGUCCGUACUCUAUCGUCCACAUUUCCCUUUCUGCUGGAUGGAGAAUGCCCGGGGUGAACUUGGAAGCCAAGAUUUGAGAGCAGCAGAGCCUCUGUUAUUCUGAAUCUUUAAGUGACUGCUUGAAGUAGAGCCCUCCCCAUACCCCAUCAAUUGCCAACCAAGAACACCUGCACUGAACUGUUACAUGAAUAAGAAACUUCCAUUGCAUAAAAUCACUGCAAUUUGGGGUUUUAUUUAUUUAUUUAUUUAUAUUUUAUAACAACUAACAUUGCCCUAACUAGUACAGGACCCAAUAGAAUUUUCUUAGGUCAAAACAGGUUCUGAGUGUGGUGAAUAUUAUAUAGAGGGCAGAGCUAUAUUCUGGCAAGCCUCCCUGUUGUCUCUGGCCUCCCGUUUUUCAGAAAAAGGUCACUCGUGGUAUGAGGCAGCUGGGCAGUUUUGGCAUGGUAGGCUGGGGGUGAGAAGAUUAGGAUCUAUUUCUGGUCUGUCUCCCACUGGCUUUGGGUUUCCAGCCAAGGAAAAUUACAGCACGGAUGCUAAAACAACCCACCUAAGGGGAAAAUACAUAAAAAUGAAAACAAUUGCCCCAGCAGAAAGGCAGGUGAUGAUGAUUUCUGCCACAGGAGAGCAUAAUGAAUGCUCUUAUGACUCCACUCGUUCAAGCUUCAGUAGUCCUAAUGCACAAUGCCUUCAAAUCCUGCAGAAGCUGCUUACUGAUUCCAAGCCUGGCCAGCUAAGAGGAACAUUUUGACCUUUCUUUGGUGCAGGCAGACUGCAGAUGUACCAAUCAAAAUGUCUCCGUCCUUGUCAGUGUCAACUUCCUAAGCCAUAGGAUGAAUAUUGAGUUUACUUAGUUAAAAGACAAACAAAUAAAAAAAUGCCAGAAGGUGCAGCAUAUUGCUGGAACCCACCAAUCAGUGCUCCCGGAGGCAGACUUUUCGCCUGAAG